UUUGGACUUAAAAAAAAUCAGCAAUAGUGCAUUUUUUUGGCUAUAAGUAGCAGUAUUUUUUCUCUUUUUGGCCUAUUUUGCUCAUUUUUCAUCUUUUCUCUUGGGAGUUAAACCAUAAAAUAAUCUAGGAGACUAAAAGUAAAGUUUGUGGCAGCUUAGGAAGUUAGAUUAACACUUAUUUCUUGAUUUUAUUACAGAUUUAAGGUAAGCAUUCCCCGUAUUCAUAGUAAUUUUUUG
rnacentral:lncRNA from 1 species